CUCGUAGGUGGUGUGUCGCGUCGUCUGUGAAAUUCCGGGGCUUAACUCCGGGCGUGCAGGCGAUACGGGCACGACUAGAGUGCUGUAGGGGUAACUGGAAUUCCUGGUGUAGCGGUGAAAUGCGCAGAUAUCAGGAGGAACAUCCGUGGCGAAGGCGACUGCCUGGGCCAACACUGACACUGAGGCACGAAAGCUGGGGAGCAAACA
rnacentral:rRNA from 1 species